UACGAAGGGUGCAAACGUUGCUCGGAAUUAUUGGGCGUAAAGCGCACGUAGGCGGUUUGUUAAGUCGGAUGUGAAAUCCCUCGGCUCAACUGAGGAAGUGCAUCCGAAACUGGCAGGCUUGAGUACUAAAGAGGGUCGCGGAAUUCCCGGUGUAGAGGUGAAAUGCGUAGAUAUCGUUUGGAACGCCAAUGGUGAAAACAGGUAACUGGGGUUGUGCUGACACUGAGACACGAAAGCCAGGGGAGCGAACGGG
rnacentral:rRNA from 1 species